AUUGAACGCUGGCGGCAGGCCUAACACAUGCAAGUCGAACGAGUGGCGGACGGGUGAGUAAGGUCUGGGAAACUGCCUGAUGGAGGGGGAUAACAACUGGAAACGGUAGCUAAUACCGCAUACUAUCGGAUGUGCCCAUAUGGGAUUAGCUAGUAGGUGGGGUAAAGGCUCACCUAGGCGACGAUCCCUAGCUGGUCUGAGAGGAUGACCAGCCACACUGGAACGGAGACACGGUCCAGACUCCUACGGGCGACAGCAUUGGGGAAUAUUGCACAAUGGGCGCAAGCCUGAUGCAGCCAUGCCGCGUGUAUGAAGAAGCCCUUCGGGUUGUAAAGUACUUUCAGCGGGGAGGCGUUACCCGCAGAAAAAGCACCGGCUAACUCCGUGCCAGCAGCCGCGGUAAUUC
rnacentral:rRNA from 1 species